ensembl:lncRNA
GCUCAGAACCAGUAUUCGUUCAACUAUGCCAUCCUUCCCUCGAUCAGACUGAGGUCCCAUCCCAACUCUGAGGGGACAGUUACGAGAAAACUUGGCUGCCCUGCCUCAUCUGGAAAUCAUCGUUGGAUAAGCAUCUCUCUGGGGAUAAAACGUCAGUGUGUCCAGAAUCUGUGCCUUCAUUGAUGUGAACAUUCCCCCCAUUUCUACAAAUGGCCUUUGACACCCCUGGAGAAUUGUUGUGGCCAAAAAACUCAUCUUUCUGUGGACAGCUCUGGAGUGGGCUAGACUGAAGAUCAAAUCACAGAAUUCCAUCUCUCCCUGACCUAGAACAUUUCUGUGAGAAGGGACUCACAAAACCUCAGAUUCGAAGUUGGUUUAAGCCUCCUUGGCCUCCACGUCAAGACCAAGCCUGGGGAAAAACUCCAAUAUGAGAACUUUAGCCCCUCCCAAGGCAGCCUGUUCCAUUUUUGCAUAGCUCAACUUGUUGGCAAAGCUUGUAGACAUUGAACCUAAGUUUUCCUCUUGGGAAGUUCUUUCAUUCCUUCCCCACUCUGGGACCAAAGAGAACCAGUUGAAUCCCUCCUCCACAUGGCAGCCUUUCAAUUGCUAUGACAUCUCCCCCACUCACCCCAGGCUUCUCUUCUCUUCUCUAGCCCCCCACACCUCCCAGAGGGCUUCCGAUGCUAUGGUCUUGAGGCCAUUCGUCAUUCUGGUCACCACACUCUUGACAUGCUCUGGUUGUCCACUUCCUUCCUAAAGAGAGACGUUUGUUCAGGAGCGGGUGAAAGAGUCUUCGUGGAAUGAAACUUGGGCUUUGUUCCCGAAGCCUGAAGGCUGGAGCACCGAGUUCGGGGUUCUCACGGGCUGCUUUUGAACAAAGAACAGGAGGUUCGACACCCUGUGCCUUUGGAAGGUGGGAGGGGAACCAACAAAGUGUCACCACCAGGUAUUCUGGGUCGUGUAAGAAUGAUAAGGCAACAAUAAUAAUAUUACCUUCAGCUUCCGUCGGGAGACGCGCACAAACCAGCCCUCCCAGAAUCCUUUAUCAAGUGCCUGUUUCGAGGGGGCCAGACAGGUGGGAACACGAAAGCACCGAGCAUAGGGGCUCCAGGAGACCACGUGCCCACCUGCUCCAUCUCCGGAUGCUCUGAGCAGCGCUCCAAGGCUUUACGAUGGCGGGAGGGGGGGCGGGGAGGAGGGGGACGGGAGGGGGGCGUUUUCUCACGCGAGAUCCCUCCUCCUAAGGAAGCCCCAGAAACCCAGGGCUGAGCUCAAAGGGUUAAAUGUAACCCCUCUGUAAAGGGCUGCUUUGUAAGUGGGAGGGAUUAUGAUGGCGUCCAAAUGAGCAGAAUUUCACUAGAGAAGACUUUGUUUCACUAUAGGGUACUGUCGGGGACCCACAGGUUCCCUGGGAUGCUCUGAAUGUAGGUUGGCAAAUGAAGCAAAGCCUUGUUCUGCGGGCUGACUGCCCCCCUGCCCGCACGCUGCCCCCUCCUGCAGACUUGCAUCGCACGGGACUGGCACGCGGACCUUCUAGUUUUUUGUUUGAUUGCAAAGAUUGGUAGACACUUUGAUGACUGCCAGUCCUUAUGCAUCCUGGGAGCUUAGAGAAAACAAUCAUCGUAAUAGUGUGUGAUCCGGAUAAAGCAUUUUACAGUUUGCAAAGUGCUCUACAAGGAUUUGCUCUCUAGAAUAACCCUCUGAGGCAGGUACUAUAAACUGGUUCCCCACUUUAUAGAUGAAGAAACGGGUGUUGGGAAAGGGUAGGAGACUUGUCCAAGGUAACUCGAUUCUUAGAAGUCAGGGGUGAGAUUUGGAUCUCAGUUCCCUCUCCUAUAAAAUGAGCCAGAGAACAAAAUGGCAAAUCACUCCAGCCUCUUUGCCAAGAAAACCCCGAAUGGAGUAAGGAAGAGUCAGGCAGUCUCAAACCACUGAGUACCAAAUAAUUAUACAGCACUGCAAGGAGUACAAAGCACCUGACCUGCGUGAUCUCAUUUGGUACUCACAAUAGGCUGUAAAGCAGGCACUCUUAUUACCCCUAUUUUGUAGUUGAGGAAACUGCAACAGAUAGAGGUGAAGGGACAGCUGAGGCAGAUUUGAACCCAGUCUUUCUGACUCCAGGUCCUAAGCUGCCACUUGGUGGGCUAGAAA